UAUAUAUAUAUAUAAAUUUGAUGUUAUAUUUAAAUUUAUAUUUUAAAAAUUUAGAUUUAAUAUAAUAUAUUUUGAAAUAUUGAAGAAAGAAAUAAUUGUUUCGGAUUCAAAUUUUCGGAUUCGGGUUCAGGCUCGGGUCUUGGGUUUGGAGUCGGGUUCGGAUUCGGGUUUUUAAAAAUCCACCCCGAAUCCGACCCGUUGACAACUCUAAACGUAUUUGAUAUUUUUUGAAAAAACUAUUUAUUA
rnacentral:lncRNA from 1 species